GACGAACGCUGGCGGCGUGCUUAACACAUGCAAGUCGAACGGAAAGGCCCUGCUUUUGUGGGGUGCUCGAGUGGCGAACGGGUGAGUAACACGUGAGUAACCUGCCCUUGACUUUGGGAUAACUUCAGGAAACUGGAGCUAAUACCGGAUAGGAGCUCCUGCUGCAUGGUGGGGGUUGGAAAGUUUCGGCGGUUGGGGAUGGACUCGCGGCUUAUCAGCUUGUUGGUGGGGGAGUGGCUUACCAAGGCUUUGACGGGUAGCCGGCCUGAGAGGGUGACCGGCCACAUUGGGACUGAGAUACGGCCCAGACUCCUACGGGAGGCAGCAGUGGGGAAUAUUGCACAAUGGGCGGAAGCCUGAUGCAGCAACGCCGCGUGCGGGAUGACGGCCUUCGGGUUGUAAACCGCUUUCGCCUGUGACGAAGCGUGAGUGACGGUAAUGGGUAAAGAAGCACCGGCUAACUACGUG
rnacentral:rRNA from 1 species